GAUGAACGCUGGCGGCGUGCCUAAUACAUGCAAGUCGAGCGAACAGACGAGGAGCUUGCUCCUCUGACGUUAGCGGCGGACGGGUGAGUAACACGUGGGUAACCUACCUAUAAGACUGGGAUAACUUCGGGAAACCGGAGCUAAUACCGGAUAAUAUAUUGAACCGCAUGGUUCAAUAGUGAAAGACGGUUUUGCUGUCACUUAUAGAUGGAUCCGCGCCGCAUUAGCUAGUUGGUAAGGUAACGGCUUACCAAGGCAACGAUGCGUAGCCGACCUGAGAGGGUGAUCGGCCACACUGGAACUGAGACACGGUCCAGACUCCUACGGGAGGCAGCAGUAGGGAAUCUUCCGCAAUGGGCGAAAGCCUGACGGAGCAACGCCGCGUGAGUGAUGAAGGUCUCCGGAUCGUAAAACUCUGUUAUUAGGGAAGAACAAAUGUGUAAGUAACUAUGCACGUCUUGACGGUACCUAAUCAGAAAGCCACGGCUAACUACGUG
rnacentral:rRNA from 1 species